rnacentral:rRNA from 1 species
CCUACGGGGGGCAGCAGUGAGGAAUAGUGGUCAAUGGACGAGAGUCUGAACCAGCCAAGUAGCGUGAAGGAUGACUGCCCGAUGGGUUGUAAACUGCUUGUAUAUGGGAAUAAAAUGUGCCACGUGUGGGAUUUUGUAUGUACCAUAUGAAUAAGGAUCGGCUAACUCCGUGCCAGCAGCCGCGGUAAUACGGAGGAUCCGAGCGUUAUCCGGAUUUAGUGGGUUUAAAGGGAGCGUAGGGGGAUUGUUAAGUCCGUUGUGAAAGUUUGCGGCUCAACCGUGAAAUUGCAGUUGAAACUGGCAGUCUUGCUUACAGUACCGGUGGGCGCAAUUCGUGGUGUAGCGG